GAGCGCUCGGCGGCGGCGGGGGCCGGAGGAGGCGGCGCGGCGGAGCCUCGGUGGCCUGGGACGCUCCUCCUAGCGAGGGCCGCCGCCCGCCUCCGCCUGGAGCUCCCUCGCCCCGGCCGGGACCGGCCGCCACUUCCGGCGGUUCCUCUGGGACGCGCUCACCUGGGACGCGUUACCUGCCUCCGGGCACCUGGGCUGCAGGAUGAAGGACCGGCUGGAGCAGCUGAAGGCGGUAAGUCCCGCGAAGCCGGGGGCUGCGGGGCGCGGCCGGGAGGUGGAGCUGCGUGGGGGGGGGGCCUUCUCUUUGCUCCCCAGGUCCAGGCUGGAGGGCCGCCGAGCGCGAGGCCUGCCCUCUCCAGCCCCCGCAGCAUCCCGCGCAGGUUCCUCACCCUUCCUGGUCCUGCAGGGUCAUGUGCUCCGUGAUUCAUCGUCCAGCAGCGAUUUCCCUGACCGCCUCUCACCUUCCCACCCCCAGGUGGACUGGCGGGGGGUGCUCGGGCCGAGCGGGGCUCGCGGAGAGGUCCUGAGGGGUCACCCCACAAGUGUCAGGCACCAUAUCCAUAACUGGUCUCCUUCGCCUUCCUGAUUCCCUCCUGGGGGACACUGGACCAUGUUGACUCCUUCCCUGGGAGCAGCUCAGAUAUUCCGGUGACCUCUCCAGCUGUGGGCCAGUUCCAGCUCCUAGCCAUCCGUUGGUGGUCUGUAUUUAACCCGCACCUCCCGGCUCUACCCCCCCACCCCCACCCCGCGGCACUCCCACCCUCCGCCCCCAUUCCUUGGGACAGCUGUGGUCAGAGUAAAGGAUCCUAAGAUUAACCGCCAUGGGCGUUGCUUCACAAAAACUGAAACCAGGUGACUCUUGAGCCUGUUUCCUUGUGUGUCAAGUGGGAAUGUUAGAAGUUUGUUUGAGGAUCAUAAUGGGACAAUAUAGAGAAGCAUUAAAACAUGAAUUUUGGAGUCAGAUAUUCACUGACUCAUUCAAUAAUUAUUGAGUGCGUUCUAUAGCACGGGCCCCGUGUUAAACCUUGGAGAUUCAGUGACGCAGGCUCUACCUUAAUGGAAUUUCAAAUCUUUCCCUUGAUACAGUGUUGUCCAUCUACUUGGAAGCAGCACAUUAGGCUUCAGUCUAAACCUGCAGAAUCUGAUUCUUUAUGAAUCUUCCCAGGUGAUUUAUGAGCACAUUAAAGUUUGGAAAGCACUGAACUGGGUGAUAAGUGGGGCUUUCUCCUGCCCCCCCCCCCUGCUUACUGGCGAUUGCUUAAAGUCCAAGCCUAAGUUAUCUGUAAAAUGAGUAGUUGUGAAAACUAAAAGCAAGAGAGUAUGCAGAAGCACCCUUUGUAUGGUGCAUGCAUAUAGAAUUUAUAAAUGGUAAGUAUUAUGCUAAUAAGUGUAAAUGUCUUUUGGAAAAUAGAAGUGUUAGGGUGUUGCAUUUGUUUUUUUCUCCUCCACCUUUGCUUGGAUGAGAUCUUCAUGACCCUUUCACAUGCACUGGGCAGUAGGGCUGCAGAGGAGGCCAGGCAGCAAGAACAGGGGAACAGUUGCAUACUGUGGGAGCUGUGGGUGUGAGCUCGCCCCUGCCCCAGACUUGCUCUUUGUCAUCUGAGCCUCAGGGCAUCCUGGUUACUUACAGGGCAGAAUUUAUUGUCCCUAUUUUAUAGAUGGAGAAGCUGGAGCUGGCCCUGGGUAGGAGGGAUGCCCCAGGUCAUAGAUCUGGUCAGGGCACAACCAGGCGAGGAACCCAGACUUCUGAUACUCUUUCCUUUGAAGCAUGCUGGUUGAAGAGGCAGAAAGGAAAGAAGGCUUUGAAGAGUUUUGUAUGUCAUAAAAAAGUGCCAAACUGAACUGCAGACAGAGGUGACCCCCUUCCUUAUUCAGGAAAUCCAUUUCCAGAGGAAGAUGCCCCCUGGCCCUUUAAUAGCUCAUUGUCAACAGAGUAAAGAGUCUUAACUGAGCUUUGAGUUCCAAGAAUAAAUGCAGUUUGCUAGUGAAUCCAAGCAGGUCCCUUUGCCUCUGUGCUUUGUGCUUCCUCUUACCCUCUAUAAAAGGAAGCUAAUGAUAUGUUUCUUCCCUUAAACCGUUGGGAGUGUAGUGAAAGUGAGACUGUAGAAGGUGCUGUUAUUGUGGGAGUAUUGUUCUGAAAUCACAGGGUGGUUGCUGUUAGGUUUUGGAGUAGAGAGAUGCCGGGCAGCACAGGGCUAAGAGGGACUGGGUUGCAGGUUCAAAGCCUUCUAAUUGUGACCAUGUUAUUAAUUAGCUGUGUUGCUUUUGCCACUUUACCCUUCUGCUUCUUGAUGCUUCCUUUGUAAAACGAGGACUUUAGUUGAUCCCAGAAGACCCUCCUGGCAUUAUUAAUGGUCUCUGUGGAGACCGUCAGGAUUUGUGUGUGUUCUGGUCUGGAGUCCAUCUCCUCUACCCGCUGCCCCAAGAAUCACCUUCACUGCAACAAGAUAUGUCAGUGUCUUUCUCUGGUUCCUUUUCUCAACCAAAAGUGUUUGCUAAUCUUCAUGAAACGAGAGUAGCCUGUGCAAUGUCUUUCUAAACCCCAGGAAGGGAGGUGGUAAGUGCCUUCAGAUAGCAGGAAGGUUGGCAUGUGAAUGAGAUUAGCUUUGCUCUGUGUAGAUACCAGGGGAAAGUGUGGGGUGGGUGGGUAGAAGUCAGGAAUUGGUAAGAGCAAUUUUACUGUUCAAAGAUAGGGUAGGCUGACUGGAGAGGUGGCAAACCCUCCAGCAGGGUUUCUUUCCUAAGAAGCUUGUUGGGAUGAUAAAUGCUGCAGGAAUUUGAGUAUCUUUUUGAAGGGGAGAAGGUGAACCAGGAGAUUUAGGCCUCCACGAACCCUGAGAAUGUAUGAUCCCAUAAGAUAUUUUAUUGUGAGCCUCUCCUGAGCUUCACUGUUUGUGAUGUGAGUCUGUCUCAAGGCUUUGGAGACCAUAAGGGUUUUCCCUCAGAAUGGCACCUAUAAAGUGGACCUUUAUCCUUUUUCCCUAGCGUCAUUGUGGGGGUGAAAUGAGAUAAUCCAUGACAAUCGCCAACCACAGUAAAUGUGAGUUCUCUGUACUAGGCCCCCUGAGAGUAACAUCCACACUAAAUUAGGGCAUACCUUCCUAAGGCCAUGGUCACAAGCCUUGGUGUACCUUAUCUCUUGCGCUGCCCCUCCUGAUGGGCUCCCUCAGGAGCUUGCUUCUGACCUGGGAGAGGCUUGCCAAGAAUGUACAAUGCCCACAUCCAGCCUUUCUUAGUGGUUUUUCUGAUUUCUCUGUAGGUGAACUUUGAACUUGCUGAGUCUGGACAAUUCCCAGUCUAGGGACCUUCUUGUCUGGUCCUCUUUUCACUCAGCAAACAUUCACUGAGUCACCACUAUGUUCCAGACCCUGCAGUUAGGUGCAGGAGUGGAGUGGCAACUAACACCUAUUUCUGGCCCUUAGCAAGCUCAUGGUCAGGUGGGGAGACGCACAAGAAAUAGGCACUGUGAUACACCAUCCUUGUGGUAGAAGCAGCCACAGGAAGACCUGACUGGCUGGCCUCUGAGAUGGGGAUGAGCAAGGAGGUGGGAUUUCCAGAAGUAAAGCUUUUGAGUUCAGGUCCUUCUUCACGUGUAAUCUACUAUCUUCAGAUGCAUGUAGAGUCCUUUAGGAAGAAAGACCAGGAGACUGUAUUUUCUCAACCACUCUCCCAUGGGUGAGUGCUUCAUGUAUAAACCAUCAAGAACAUAAAAAUUCACGAAGCAUUCACACAGGUGCCUGUGUAUGGCAGCCACUGACUGCCAUGGUCAGAGCCUUUUGACCUUUAUGUGCUUUGCAUCCUGCUAUAUAUGACAUUAAGCAGAAUUAUUGUACAAAGUCCUUGUCUUAAAGAGUAAAUGGCCAUAAAGGGAAAACAAAGAAAUGUAUUUCGUGAAAGAGAACAAAACCCAAAAAAGUCAAAGGUAGAUAAUGGAGAAGCCAGUGAUGUAUGGAAAAGAGGUCUGGGACUUUGGAUCCCCUUGGAGACUGAUCUGUGGAGUGCCUUGGACCCUCCAAGAUCAGCACCAGUGGGCACACUAAUGAAAUCAACUCCCUGGGGCUCUAAAGGGCAGAUUUACUUUUAUUCUCUCUGUCCUGUCCUGUGUCUUGCCCCUUUCUAGUGGGCUGUGCUGUCGUCCUUCCCCAGUGAAGCUCAGGAUGGUGCUGAUCCCUUAGAAGCAGGAAGCUGUGCUUCCCCUCUACCUGACUUCUUCAUGUACAUGCUUACUGAGCCCCUACUCUGCGCCAGGUGCUUCGGAUCAUCACCUAGUCUUGACAUACCAACCUAUCCCUUUGUUGGGAUUCUGUCCUUUAGUGAUAAGAUUUCUUAUUAGUCAGGAUUCCUUCCUCCCCUCCUCUGUCAACCUGGGAGGAUUCAUUUUCUGGGAGAGAUGUUUUGCUGGGAGCAGAGCUGGGAUGAGGGUGACUGACGGGGAUUGAGAAGGGAUUACAGACCCAUCAGCCCGUGGCCGAGAGAAAAUGCUUGGAUGAGAGAAGGGGAUUAAUUUUAUUUUUAUUCCUGUAAGUGUGGGGGAGGGAGGGAUUGGCAGGCGCCAAGGCAGAGAUGUUAUGCAGGAUCUUGUCCUCUCUUCCCUCCAGCACUUCCUUCCCCUCUUUGGUCAGCAUUUAUACCCAUCUCCCCAAAUUCAUUCUUAUAGACAGUGCUCCCUAACUGCAGCCUAGAAUGCUCUCCCUCCGUCCUGCAGUUUGUGUUGACUGUAUGUUGCUUUACAAUUAAAUACUUUGAAGUCAGUCUGGUUUUUACUACCAUGAAGUGGGUUUGAAAACCACCUUCUACUUUUUUUUUUUUUUUUUUUUUUAAAGAUCUGGACUCUGUCUUUAACAGUUGAUCUUCUGUGUUGAAGAUCAAUGAUUCUUUUUGUUGUCACCAUAUCAACUACAGUAAUAAUUAUAAUUUAUUGAGCAGCUACUUUCUAUUGGGCAGCACUUGCGUUAGGUGCCUUGCCUACCUGAUCCUCUCAAUCCAGCAAGGCAAGGCAGUCUUAUGUAUUCUUCCCAUUUUACAGGUGAGGGAGUUGAGGCUUAUGUUUGACAGAGAUCCCCAGCUGGAAAGUGGUGGGAUCAAUAAUUGAGUGAGUCUCUCUUAUAUAUUUGUAUCAUGUCCUGUGCUGUACUAUGAUCAUUUCCCUCACCGCACUUUAUGCUCCUCAGUACAGUGGCAGAUAAUGAUAUCCCCCUGGGUCUCAGGGCCUAGCUCUCUUCCUGGUAGGCGCGUGUUAAACAUUCGUUUGUUGGCUGAUCAACAGCAGCUUAUGCACCCUUAUGGGCCUUAUGCACCUCUUAUUCAUUAUUAGGACUGUUUUUUGUGCUCUAUUCCCUGUGGGUUGGUGAAACUUUACCUGCUUAAAGUGGAACAUUUACUCUGGGAACCCAUAAAUUUCCUAAUGAAGCCAGAAGUCACUGUCCAUCCCCAGGGAUGAAUGAGUUCCAAUGUACCUACCCUUACCUAAACCCUCAGCCCAAGAUGACAUGGAGGGUUGCCUCUUAUUGGAAAGACAAUGAAGGAGAAGAUGUAGGUAUCUCAGUGAAAAUCUACCCUAUCUUAUUUUCCCCUGCAAAAUCCUACUUGUCCUUUAAGGCUGGGUUCCAGUAUCAUCACUGUAUGGACGUUUCCCAGGCUGACCACAUUGACCAUACCUUCCCUGACCCCCACUUGAUUUUUUUGUUGAUAUAUAAAAACAGCCUCAUUGAUAUUGCAAGUUCAGAAGCUGUCUGCCCUGUUAGGUCCAGGACUCUGGAACAGAGCACAGCCCCCACACGCCUCCUUCUCUCCAGCCCAAAGCUUGGAAGACUGAAAACCAGACCAUUCAGGGGAUGAACGGGGUUAUGUUGUCAGUGGAUUUACCUGCAGAUUCUGUAGUCCCUGAGGGGCCUUAUCUCCAGCCUCCUUUAUUUAUUUAUUUAUUAUUUUGUGGUUCUGGGACUUGAACCCAGGGCUUUGUCCAUGCUAGACAAGCUCCCUGCCAACUGAGAUAAAUCCCCAACCCCCUUUUAUUUUAUAUAUGGCCCCUUUUCAGGUCCCUGACCCCUGCUUUUAGGCAUUAACAGGCUAUUUCCAAAGCAACAUUCUGCAGUCUUUGUGUGGAGACAGUCUGAAGUUCAGCCCCCUCCUAAAGAGACUGGUGAAGCGUGCACUAUUUGGGUAUGUUCUGCUGUCUGGGUUAGGGCAGGGCGACUUGGUGUGACAUCAGGUGCCGGUGUUUUUUUUUUGUUUUUUUUUUAAAUCUUUUUGUUUUGGACUAUGUUUCGUUUUACAGAAAAGUUACAAAGAUACUUCAGAAGUUUUUGUCUACCCCUAGCUGGUUUCCCCUAUUAUAACUGGUACAUUAUUAUUCAUUAAAUGCCAGGCUGUAUUUGGAUUUCACUCGUUAUUCCACCAAUGCCCCUUUCCUGUCCUAGGAUCCAAUCCAGGACACCACAUUGCAUUCUGUUGUCAUGUCUCCUUAGCUUCCUCUGGCCUGGGACAGUUUCUCAGUUGUCCUUUGUUUUUCAUGACCUUGUCAGUAUGGCACUGUUUUAUGGUGCUUUGGAAGUGCAUUUCCUGGGGCCAGUGCUGCUGCAGCUGGGGUGGGGGUGGGUUAGCUGCUAAGAGUCAUCACUCCUUGAUGGUUGAGAACAAAGGCUCUGGGGCCAGCAGCCCGGGCCCUCUCCCAGCUGUCCACAGGAUACCUGGCAUCUUUGUGCAUUAGUUUCCUCAGCUGUAGGAUGGCAAGUGUCCCCAGAAGAUUAGCUUGGGGAUUAAACGCCCUGGUAAAUAUAAAGUGCACGUCUUAUAAGGAUCCUUAGCUUACUGAGAGCUUUCAACGAAUGCUUCAUGUUUUAACUGUGAUUUAAGUAUUCUAGAAGGGCCAUGUGGGGAAGGGAGUUAUGGGACAGGAUGAAAGGAAGGUUUGAGGAGAGGUCUGAGAAGGGUGUAAGACAGUGUUCCUUCCUUCCUCCUUCUGUGUCCUUAAGCUGAAUGCUGAGGAGGCGUUGGGGGGGCCAGGUUUGGAGGGUGGAGGAGGAAGAAACUAAAGGGAAGCUGAGUUCUCCAGGAGGAGAAAGAAGAUAUUAUUUGGAUUUGUUUGAAUGGCUCCAGGGGUUGUUAGGAGCACCUGGUUAAAGAGAAUAAUUCUGUAAACAGGGCCCACUGUGCUGACCCCCACAUGCCUUUUUUUUUUUUUUUUUUUUUUCCCCAAGGAGCAAUUUACCUGCCUAAGUGAACAGAAUAGGUCAUAUUGCUCAGCAAACUACUUGUUAACUCCAGGAGAAAUGUAGGCCUGAGAUAAGUUGAUAAAGAGGAACCCAAGUUACCCUGGAGGGGGACUUUUGUGACCAGAUCCUGAAACUCUAGGAGAUCAGGAUAAUUCCUCCUGACCAUAAAAUCUGUAAGAAUGUAUGGUUAGGAAUCCAGUUAGAGCCGUUCAGCCUCCACCAGGGUGACCUAGAAUUGUCAUGGCAAUUGGUACCUGAAAGUCUGAUGUCAUCUUGCUCUCAGUCAAAAGUCAAGAGUUGGACAUGAGUAGGACUCUCUGGAAAUUUUUUGGGGAUCCCCAGUGAGACUGGAAUGUAGGAGAGGCAUGUUGUCCCUUUCCUCUCUGAGAGGACCCACUCUCUCCCUUUAGAGGGUCCCUUUUCCUUUUUACUAUGCCUUCAGUAAAUUCAUGCCUGUUACUCUGAAAGACAUACCUGGAAUCUUUCUGACUUGAUCGUAAGAAUCGGGGUGUGAAGAGGGAUCUUCUCACUGCCUCAGUUUCUCAGACAGCCCUCAGCUCUGUAACAGGUUGAGAGAGAAGGCAGAAAGAAGAUGUGGUCUUUUUACCUGCAAUGGCCUUCUUGUAGGUUUUCUUGGAGUAAGUCCAUCCAGUUUUCAAAAUUUCCCCAAGGAGCUACCUCUGCAAGGAUUCUCUGAUAGGCUUGCAUCUUCCCUGGCUAUGCCUUGUGUCCAGGUGAGGUUGGGCACCUGUCUUCUCCUGGGUGUGCUUAUAUUUUCCUUGUACUGUGUGAUGUCAUCACUCACCAGGUGGUGCUGGAAGGGCCUGUCGGUCCAUCUGCCAUCUGAGACAGUGAGAUCCUGGAGAGCUGGGGGUGUUUGAGGGUGUUUGAGUGUGUUUGUGUUUUUCCAGCGUCUAUACUAUGGCUUAACAAAUGUUAGAUGUUCCAUAAAUACUGUUGGAUGAGUGAACAAACACAUGAAUCUGUUACUUGGCAUGGAACCUUCCUGUGAGUGAAUACUGGGGAUGUGGUGGUUGAGUUCCCUCUCCAAGUUGAUGUAGCAGUGAAUCUUGGAUUGGGCCAAGAGGCUCCAAAAUCAGCUCUUUUUUUCCCCUCAUGAGCUGGGUAAUCCUGGUUGGAUUAACCUUCCUAACCCAGAUUCCUUGUUGGUAAAGAUGACAUCUACCCAGAGGGUCUCUCCCAAUCUUUUCUUUCCUUGUGUUCACUGCUUCUACCCAAAUCUAACUCACGUAUUGAGAAGCAAAAGCAGGUAGGAACUAAAUGACAUGUGGGGAUGGAAUUUGUAUAUAACAAAUAUAAUGCAAGUUUAAGAACUUUUUUAUUUUUUUAUUUUUUGGUAUUGGGUUUUGAAUCCAGGGAUGUUUUAUCACUAAGCUAUGUCCACAGCUCUUUUUAUUUUUUAUUUUGAGGCAAGGUCUUGCUAAGUUGCUUAGGUCCUUGCUGAGUUGUUGAGGCUGGCCUCAAACUUGUGAUCCUCCUGCCUCAGUCUCCUGAGUCUCUGGGAUUGUAGGUGUGAGCCACCACACCUGGCUGAAUAGAAGUUCUUUCAAAAGACACAUAGAAGAAUAAGAAAUAAUGACCCUGUAUUAAGACAAAGAAAAUGCAUAGACUACAAGUCAUGUAUUCUCGGACAGAGAUGUAAUUAGGAAUCACAAUACAAUAAUAAUCCUUCCCAGCUUACCCACCUUGGAAAUUUCAAAACACCUUCCCAUGUAACUCUUGGCUUAAAAAUGAAUCAAAAUAGAAGUGACACUCUAUUUAGAAGUGAAUGCUAAUGAGAGCAGUAAAUAUCAAGUGGUGAGAAUGUAGCCAAAGCAGAAUUUGGAGGGAGCUCUAGUUCUUUAAAAUGACAGUUUCAAAAUAAAUGAAGUAAAUUCCAGUAACUAUGUGAACUUCCCUCUUGCUGAGACACUGGCUAUUACCUUUUGAGAACUGGCAGUUUUAAAAGCAAGGCUCCAUUCUCUACUUAAGGUGGUGUGAACUUGGACGUUUAACAGAGUUUAUGUGCCCAGAGUUGCUCUGAGCAUUUCACAUUUAAUAGCUCAUUUAAUCCUCACAACAAUUCUAUGAGCAGAUUAUUCUGAUCCUGUUACAAAAAAGGAAACUGAGUCAGAGAGUGAUUAAGUAACUCAUUCAAGAGGACACAGCUCCUGAGUGUCAGAGUCAGGCUGUGAACUCUCAAAGUCAGAUGUAUCUCUACAUACAUGCUCAUUUAUAGGAUUAUAUGCAUCAGUAUCUUUUUCAUUCACUCAUGUAGAUUAAUUCAGUUUAGAUCAGUAGACGCUGCAGCGUCCUCUGAAAUAAGCUAGGAUGUGUUACCUGGCCAGACUGGGAGGUGCCUUCAAGUAGCAUGUAAAGGUGUAAGCAGGGGCCCUGGGCUACCACAGAGCAGCCUUUGAAUCCUAAUGAUGCCAUUUAGUAGCUGAAUCACUUCAGAUAAAUCAUUUAACCUAAUUAAGCAAUUACCUUAUCUGUAAGUGGGAAAUUAAAAUUUGUUCCUCAUAGGGUUGAUGUGAGAAUUAAAUAAUUUAUUUGAAACCACUGCCCCCAUCCCCACCUCCACCCCACACUCUGUCUGCUAUGAUUUGUUAUGGCAGAAUGGGUGGAGGGAGUCCUCAGGGACUCUGGCCCGCAUCCAGUUGUCCACUGACUUAAUCUGGUAAUGAGUUUAUUCCUCAGCAUCUUCUCCCACGCAGGGUGAGUUGCUUGCCUUCAGUCUCUCAGCUAGAACAGAAUCUUCAAAGCCAAAGCUGGCUCACCAGGGUCCUAUUGUCUGUCAUUUCCUCUUGGUUCAUCUGACUAGGGUAUUGUGGACGGUAAGAUCAGCACAAAGGGGAAGUGUUCCUUUGGGGAGGGGGUUUCACUGCAACAGAAAACAGUGUCAUGGGGAGAACUGGGCAUUGGAGAAAGGUCAUCUGACUCUUUAAAUGGGAAAUGGAUUAUACCCGGUGCUUUUUGAGAGCCCAUGUGCUCACUCAGAAUUCUUGUCUAUAGACCAAAGAAGAGGGACUGGAAAUCCCAGAUGUAAGGCAGAGGCAGUGUGUGCAUGGCGUGUGUCCAUGUGUGUUGGAACCCGUGCAAGGAAGCGUGGUGUCUUGUCUUUGACCCACAGACCCUCAUCCUAGAGAAGGCAGGUGGUGGGUGUGGGCAGCAGAUGCUGUUGUCCCUAUGAAUCAAGUCUAUCAGGAGAGUCUGGGUUUAUAAAUAAGUCUUUGUUUCCAGAGUGAAGAACUGUUUCAGGGUGGGGAGGAGAAGGCACAGCAUUUUUGGUCACCUGCACAUGGGUUGGGAGGUUCCCGUCUACCACUUCACAGUCCUUUACUAUCCUGCUGUGGGAUGUGAAGGACCAGAUGUCCCCUCCCCUGUGUCCUUUGUUUCACCCAGAGACUCCUUCCUGGGAACUCGUGGCCUUCUGGCUUGUCCUGCCACCCUCUCCUCUGGGGGUCAGGGCACUGAUGGGAAGAAGCAGUCAGAUAGCUGGUGAAGGAGGUAUUCCUCUUGUGGGGUGACUUCCUUUUUCUUUCUUUGUCCCUGUCCUGUCUUUCUGCUCUGAUUUGUAAAAUCCUUAAUGAAAUGCUGGAGAUUUAGACUUGUGGGGCAGCCCUGCUUUCACUUAGGGAGGGGCAGGAGUUCAUCUCCUCUUUUCUCUUCUGGAGGGCACCUAUUUAUCUGCUUCAGUGGUUUUUCUGUUUUCUUUCUUUCUUCCUUGUUUUGACAACCGGACACUUUCUUAGAAUGAAAUCUUGUAUUCACUGUAUAAACAGGUAAAAGUGAAGUUAUGCAGAUUAGAGAGGGAGGAAGACCCAGGAGCCCUGCCUGUAGGCCUCCCCUCCCCCUGACUCCCCUGGGUGGCUUCUGAGGCACACCUGAGGCAUCUUGGGGUUUCCCCAAACCACAGUAGAAAGCUAACCUGACUUGCUGAGAAACUUGAGGUUUAACAAAGACAAGUGUUGUCCCCAAGGCCCACAGCUCCUGUCUCCCAGCCCAGGGUUCUUUCUGCAGAGCUAGACUGCUGCUCUCCUGGCCCCUGGCUGCUCUUGUGAUAGGCUUUGUGCAGGGUACAGUGCCCUAAGAGGCCCCGAGACAGGUGACCUAUUCCUGAACCUUGACUCUGUCGGCAGCUGGGAGACCCUGAAUAAAUUACAGCUUCUCUGAACUGCAGUUGCUUCACUGUAGACUGCAGAUAGGAUUGGAUGACAUGGUGUACAGAAAGCAAGGAGGGUGUUGUGACUACCCAGCACUUUGUAGGGGCCCUACAGGUGGCAACUCUUUUUAUUAACUGAGCUAGUGAAAAGGGGCCUGUGGUCAGAUGGACUGAGGAUGAUGGAGAAGGCAGUUUGAAAGGCAGCACUGAGUGAGAGGAUUGCAGGUUAAAUUGCUUGAGCUUGAGUUCUGGGCCCCUCAGUUCUUCCCACUUUCUGUGCAGAGGGAAGGUCAUAACCUUGGCUGUGAAUUCUCAAACUUGGUGUACAUUUGAGGGUCAAGUGUGGGGAGACACAUCCCCAGCUGGAGCCCAGUGUUGCCUAAGUCAUUCCUAAUAUCUCCCAUCUCUUGACAUGAGAGGCGUCAGGAGGCUGGGCAGGGAGGAAAUGGGUGCUGGGCUCAUGUUCCCCUGUACUGACCCCUUACCCCCACCCCCUCGUGGCUGAUCUUGCAGCUGUUGUAACGUUCCUAUUACCACAUACUCUGAUUCUUUGAUAAUGAUGCUGAAGUUCUCUUCUCAGCUAAGCCCAGUCAUAGGCCUGAGGAUAAAGGGCAUUGUGUGCUUUCCUUGCCUUUGGGGUCCCCAAUGCCCCUUGGUCUGCAAGAGCCACCUGUGUCAGAAAGGAAGGAGCCCCUCCUGGGAUCUGGUAGAGCCCACUCUGUAGGGGAUCCCUGGGGGUAGUUCCAGGCUCAUGUGACUCCAGAUAACAAGUGAUGAUGGCCUCUUCCUGCACAUCUGAUCUGGAUUAAAUGUUGUUUUCUACUUUUGGAAAUAGCAUGCUGCGUGAGGGGGAAAACUCUAGGAGAAGAUAGAAGCUAUUCUGUGUGUGUCAGUAACCCAUUGUUUGGUCCAUUGGGUAAGAACUUUAAAAUAUUAUUUAAUCCUCAAGUAAGUCCUGGCAGGCUGUUUUUAAAAUACACAUUUAUAUAUAUGUAAGUUAUAUAUGUAUGUGUGUACUUAUAUGUACGUAUGCUAUAUAAUUUUAAUAGAGGAAAGAGGCAGGGAAGAGGAGGGUGGCUUUUCAGUGAUUCCUCCUUGUUGGCAUAAAACCCAAGAGUAAGUUUUGGCAGUGUUAGUAGGCAUGCAGGCGGAAGGUGACAGGCAGGUGACAAGUCGAUGGAUACGUAUUUUUUAUGUGCCAGCCUUGUGCCAGGUGCCCUGUAGCUACUAAGUCCUAAGAGAUACUGUCUCUGACCUCAAGUUGCUUAAAAUUGAGGUAGGUCAGAAGUAGAGAUUGCAACCCAUAAAACUCUUAGAUGAAAAUCCGGGGGCAGUUUUGUGGGGUAGAUGUGAUCAAAGAGAGACUGUGAAGAUAGAAUUUGGUUAGCAGAGGAGGCUAAGAGAUGUUCCAGCCACUGGGUAUUUGUAGUGGCAGAGAGGGUGCACAGAAAGCCCAGGAGCAGGAAUGGGUGUGAUGGGUGCAGAAUACAGUGAGAUCAGGUGGAGGGAGAAGGCUCCUGGUGGAGAGCAGGGGUAUGACUCUAAGGCAUAAAAACGCUAGUUUCCAAAGAAUCUUGAAAGGCAGGCUGAGGCCUUUAACUUGACAAGUAACUAUCAUAUAUGGAGAAAGAACUAUCAUAUAUGGGGAUAUAAUGCGAUUAGAACAGAGAGAUAGCCAAAUGGGUGGGAGGCUGUUGCAAUGGUGUGGGGCCCAAUGCUCAGUCAAGGUCCAGUGACAUGCUAUUAUUUCUGUGUCACAGAUGAGGAAAUGGAGACUCAGAUACAGAACCAUGUGUUUAAGUCUCAGUGACCAGCAUGUAACAAGGCAGCAAUGCCUUGGAAUGGAUCUUACUGACACAUACUUGAGGUUUUCCCCUUCUGUGUGCAUCUCCAGAUGACCUUGGAAGAAAGGACACUCAGCAAAAGCUUAUUAACUUUCCUUUCCAGAGGAAGACAGGUUCCUGCUUUUUAGUAAGAAUUGUAGAGAUCUUAUUGGUAGAGGAACCUGAGGAGGCUGAUGAGAAGCCUGAGUGUUGAUGUUUGACCAAGGGAACAUUUGUCUCAAACUUUAGAAAUGAUGGGUAAGUCCAGGCUGCUGAACGCUGCUGAAGUUAAUUAUUUAUUCAGUUAAAAUUAAUGCAAUUUCUGUUAAGUGCCUACUAUGUGUUAAGUACUCAGGGACUAUGUGGGAUCAAUUAAUUCAUGACAACUACAGUACUGAAUUUUAAUUGCAAGGGACAAAGCCAGCUCUGGCUAAUGAACAAAAUGACUGCAUUGGGAGGAUCCUGUUCAACUCACUGAGAGGAUACUGUGGAAGAUCUGCAGACCCUGCUGAAAGCCAGGGGUCACCCUGGACAGGAAGGAGGGUGGCUCUGUUGCAUGCUGCCAUCGGUUGGCUCAGCUCUAUUCACUUCAGACUCCUCUCACAAGUGACAUUCCUCUGGGUGCUCAGGUCACCAUUGAUGGCCUCCCCAGAAUCACAUGGGAUGUGAUUUAGAGGAAGAUUUAUUGAAUGGACAGACAGACACCUCCCCCUCAAACACACACAAAGAAUCUACUUUAGAAGAUACAUAAGGCAAUUCUGAACCACCAGGAGUUUAUCAUUAGAAAAAAUAGAUAAAUAAAGGAAUAAAAAAUAAUAGGCUGUGGCGGUUGCUGUGUAAGCGUUGUACAAAGUGCUUAGGGAGGUUGUAAAUUUUGCAUGGGGGAGGCAUGUGUCAGGUAAGGUACACAAAGGUUGUCUGAACCAAGUUUUAAGGGCAGAGUAAAAUUUUGCCAGUUGGACAAACGCCCUUCAGGAAGAAGCCCUUGGGUGACAGUAGUGAUGUGAAAAAGAAUGUGUGCAGGAAAUACAAGGAAUUCUAAAUGUGUAGACCAUCAAUGUGGGUGGGGCUGGAUCUUAAAGGGCCCUGUGUGUUCUCGUAGGCAUUUUGGGAGUUAUAAUUCUAGCAGAUGAGUGGUCAUUAAAUAACUUUAGGUGGCAGAGGGAUGUGAUCAGUUUCGUUUUAGGAAGAUUUUUGUGGAGGUAUUAGAUCCUACUCCCUUCAAAGUGCCUAUUAAUCUAGGGAUGCUGGUUUUUGCAGAGCAGCCAGAGAGUGAGAUGCUGCAAGAGACAGUCACGAGACUUCUCCAAGGUUGGAGAACCCGAUAUAUCUAUGGGAAAUCCCAGUGACUCCUUGUGUGUGUGUAGGGGGAUGGUAGUGGGUACAGGAAAAAGGCUCCUGGUGGUCUCUUUGCCUGUGGAGUUCUGAGUGUUUGGGUGACGUGUCUUGGGCCAUAGGCUGCUGAAGGUUGUGCAGAAGCAGGCAUAGGGGAUUCCCCUGCGCCACCUGCACCCUCAGUAUCCAGUUUGCUCUUUGUGUUUAUAAGUUUGCAGUGUGCAGUUCAGCAGUGGACUGGGGAGAACAAUCCGGAAGAAUGUAGAAAUAGCCCGGGCCCUUGUUGCGGGGUGGGAAUGUAAUCAUUUCCUUAGCCAUUUGGUGAUUCUGCAGAGGAAGGUGAAUAAAAUUGAGAAAUCUUGGGUCCCCAGAGGUUGCUGGGGCCGGGGAAGGGAGGAGAGUUUCCUUUUUCCUUUUGAACAAUAGCUGACAGGGGACAGCGUAGCACCAUUUCCUUUGUAAUAGGUGGUGUCUAAAAACAGGAAAAUUUUCUUUACUCCAGCUAUGAGAAUCCAAAGUUCAUGCUUUGGAGGAACUGUAGCUAGAAUUUUCUCAAAGGGUCCAGAACCAGUAGAUGGGUUAGAUAGAAUCUGCUUGUCGUUAUGUGGUAGCUGGGUGGCUUUUGGCCAAGUUACUAAGCCUUCGUAUGUUUUAGGUUCGACUAGAGUGAGUUUUCAAAUGCCAUUAUUCAUACCGUCACUGGCAGUAGCAACAAGACCUAGCACUGGGCUGGGGGUGCAUCUCAGUGGUAGAGUGCUCCCCUGGCAUGGGUGAGGCUCCUGUUUGGUUCCCUACCUGGGUUCGGUUAUCCCAUCUGGGUUUGAUUCCCCAGCACCAGAAAAGUAGCAAAUCAUCAAAAUAGCAAAAACCCCUAGCAUUUCAGUGUGUCAGGCCUGUGCAAAAGUGUUUUAUAUCCCUAAAUUCUGUGAGUUAGGUAUUGUUAUUAUCAGCAUCUAACCGAUAAGGCAACCUAUGCCUAACAGGAUGAGUAGCUUACUUGUUUUUCCCUUCUCCCUGUCUGUCAUCCCCUGCAAAAAGUCAGUAGAUUUCAGAUAGUACUACACCAGAGUUUUAAGACCUCAUAGAGCUGCUGUAAGUUUUAAAGGAAAUGAUGUAUAACAAGCUUAACAUAGCUCUUGGGCCUUAGUGAGCAUUCAGUGUUCACUACUUACUGUUUUUUUCUUCUCACUCGGCUCCUUUUUGUCUUUUAUAGAAGCAGCUGACACAGGAUGAUGAUGCCGACGAGGUGGAGAUCGCUAUUGACAACACAGCUUUCAUGGAUGAGUUCUUUUCUGAGGUGGGCAACCUUCCUGCAUUUUUUGGGGGGAGGGGGUGAAUAUACAUAAGGAAACACAGCUUCCUCAGUAAGAGUAAAAAAUCUGGGCUCUUUCAGGGGUGGCAGGCAGUCUUUUGUUGGGGUGAGAGGGCUGAAAAUGUUAGAGGGGAGUCUCCAGUUCUUGUGAGAAACUGGAAUCUUCGAGUCAUCAGAGGGUAAAUUACAUGUAAUUGAGGAUAUGCUUUUAAAAUUGUAUGCUACAUGACAGCAUUUUAAUGAUAUCCUUUCUUGCCAAAGCACAUAAUUUAAAUACAUCAACCAUAGGCUCACAGCCAUGAGUGUUAAAAUUGAAUUUCAUCUCGAGGCCUGAUUCUGAUAAAUCAAAUUUGUUGUCUCUAAACAUUUUUAUGGUCCCUUUGACCAUAAAAUUAAUUUAAUUAAUUUUAGCAGUAACAGAGAAACCAAGAAUCUAGCAGUUUAUUUUUGUAAAGUUUAACAGGGGCCAAAAUGGGUUGCCCAUGUCUACAAAUUCACCUGCUUGUUGAUCUUGAAGGCCUUAUAGGGAUGUUGAUAGGUAGUGAUGGAAAAGCAGUGGCUUUGGAGCCAAAUGAACUUGGGCUCAAAUGUCAGUCUGCUUCUGUCCAACUGUUGAUUUUGUGAGCUUUCCUUAACAUGCUGAACCCUGGUUGGAGUCUGUCCUCAUCUAUAAAUUGACAUUGAUAAUAUCAUAAUUCCUUAUAGGGUUAUCAUAACAAUUGAGAUAAUGCUUAGAAAACAUCCAGAGUAUCAUCAGGCCUAUGUGUGCUCAAUGAAUAGUAUGUUAAAAAAGAAGAGGGAAAAAAACCCAACAAACCAGAAAGCUUAUUGUUGCUGAAGUUUCUGCCAUUGUAUAAUGGUUUCUUUAUUUAGGUCCCCCCCACUCACCCCCCAAAAGAAAAGAAGAGGCAUUGUGUUUUUUUUGCAGGGAAAAUUUGGGCACUGCCCAUCAUCUGGAUUGUGGAUGUGGAAACGUAGCUUCCAGAUUUCCUCUAAAUGCAGUGGAGUGGGGCUUGACAGUCAUGCCCAUUCAUCUGCUAGAGUAAUAACCAGGCUCAAGAGCAAACUUGAGCAUGUAUGUGCUGACCUGAUUGGGAAGUGUGCCGUAAACCUCCACAGCUCCACACCCAACUUGUGGGUGGGUCUGUCCCUUUGGUCGAGGAAGUCAUGGUGAGAUCAAACAACGCUGGGCUUUUGUGAAUCCAGUGUUAUUCCACUUGUGGAUCAUGGAGGGCAAAUGUCCUCUAUUCAUUGGGGGUUGGGUGAGAGGAGUAGCCUUCAGGAGACAUUUGCAGAUUCUGUAGUUUGUCCCUAAUUCUUGCCCUGGAGAGCCACACAUAUUAAAGAAUGUCUUCCCUAAGAUGAAGAAUCUCCUCUAGUAACUUCUUGCUCUUUCAGUGGGUGGGUGGGUCCCUGGGAGUCAGUGUUCCUUAUGAGGUGGGAAGAUGGUGGGCUUUGACUUGUGAGGCAUGGUUGGAGUCUGUCCUCAAGCAUUUUGUAGCAGUGUGACCUUGGUUAAGAUACUUAACCCGUUUUAGCUUUAGUUUCCUGCUCUGGAAGUCCCUUGACUUGUCAGCCUGUCCCUCUCAAGGCUGUUGGGAGAGUCACAUGAGCUCAUGAAUCUGGCAAACAUUCUCUGGACAGAAAAGUGCCCCAUGUGGAAGAAAGGUGUUUGGAAGAGGCCCCUGAGAGAGGUAGUGUGACCACCUCCAGGGCUGUUUGGAUUCCUGUUGCUUUCUUUGUGUUAAAUGCUUUUUGAUCACUUAGGAGAAAAAAAACAAAAACAAAAAACAAGGAAACCCCAUCAUAUUUAGGGCAGAGAAGGGGACUGCAUGGUGAGGUGAAAAGAGCACUGUGUGUCAUGAACUGUGUGAUAUUGGUCAUGUUCCAUAAGGUCUCCAUGUCUCAGUGGGUUUAUCUGUGAAACAGAGAGAAAAAUAUUCCAAGCUUUGUUGGGCAUGAGAAGAGCUGACACUGGGAAAGAGCUUAGAAUGGGGUUAGGCAGUGUUGCUUCCCUCCUUUCUCAUUUGCAAGAGCCCAGAGAGGAAAGAUGCUGGGGGGUGGGGGUGGCACAGAGGAGAGAGGGAAUGGUCACUGGAAGAGAUCCUGCAGGCAGUGGUGAACAGAUCCUGCUCUAAAUCUCAGCUCUGCCCAUUGGAAAAGUUGUGUAGCUACUUUAAACUCCAGUUUUCUCUCAAAUGGGAAUAGUACUGCAAUCUACUAGUUGUUAUGAAUAUAAAAUGAGAAAGUAUCUGGAUGUACCCAGCACAGUGCCACCAAAUUUUAGUCCUCAUCAUCCUUUUGUCCCCAUAUACUCAUGAGUAAGCAGACCAUAGAGUUCAUUUUAUAGAGCAUGGCUUGGAAAUAUCCUUCAUAUUGGGAUAAAGUACUUUGGAUAAUAGGGAUUUGGGGAAGUGAAGGAGUUUCCCUCUGUGUAUGACUGAGGAACCUGCCCAGUGUACCUUAGUUAGACACAGCUAACAAAGAUAGCACUCUUGUGAUAGACUUUGCUUUUUGGAUUGGUGCCAACAGGACACCUUUGAUUAGGUCCUUUGCUGAGAACUCAUAGUGCAAGUCAUGGGUUGGUCAUAGAGGCACAUGCAAGAUGCAGAUGAAAUCAUGGACCUCAAAAUAUAUUUUCAGAAUGUGCUUUGCAGUGUAAAAUUUGAAUGGCUUCUCUGUCUUCUCAGUUGUUAAAGAAUUGGCCCUUGGGUUUUCAGGCUACUUUGGCCAAUCAACCCAGGCCUCGUAAAUUAUAAACCCUGGACUUUGUCUAAUCUGCAGUUUUCUGUAUUUCCCGUGGUCGUUUGCUCAGUUGGCAGAGAAAGCAAAGUUUUGGAGGAAAUAGACCUGCCUCUGAAGGCAGCGGUUUAUUGUUCUGUGUUCAUCCAACCAUGCUGACCACCUCCUGAUGGUGUAGUAGGUGCUGGGGUGCAGUAUUCUGUGUGACAGGUCCUUGCUCUCUGGUGUGUUUCUAUCUGGUGAGGGUGAUAGAAAUUUUUAAAAAGUUAUCAUAUUGUAGUGGAAAUAUCAAAAAGACAUUGUGGGAGCACAGAAGAAGGAGUGUGGCCUUCUGCCUGGAGGAAGGUGGGCUUCUGGGGCUCUUAUCUAGACUUGCACCUCAGAUCUGCCUGGGAGCUUAUACACACCCAUGCCCGAUUCAUAGAGACUGGGAUGGCUCAGACUUGGAUUUUUCAUUUCUUGCAUCUGAUUUUGCCACCUACUGCAGCAACGGACAACUGCAGAGUGGUGGGGAGACUUGGAGGGUUGUAAGUAAGGAAAUAAUGGGAUCGGAGUGUGUUUUAGACAAAUCAAUCUAUGGCAGUUUGUGGAGGAAAGGAAACUCCAAAAACAGAAAUACCAGCAGAUUGGCCGAUGCAGCAAAGCAUGGGGAAAAGAGUCGGGCUUUGGUCUGGAUCUGUCAAUCUGAGCAGUAGCAUGGGGCAUCAUUUAGGGAUGUUUUGACUAACUGUUGCUUAAGCAGUAAAGAGAUGUAAUUAUUUCACGCAUGGAGAAGUUUCCUAUUAGGGAUGUACUGGGGCUUCAGGCCAGCAUCUCUGUGAUCCUUUGGGAUUUUCCCUUAGGGUUAAGAGAACAAGUCUGUUCUGAUUAUCAUUGCUUUAUAACAAACUACCCCAGUGUUUAGUGGUGUAAAACAACUAUUUUGUUAUGCUGACAGAUCCUUUUGAUUGGGUAUUUGUCUAGGGCACAGUGGGUGGUGUAUCUCUGUUCUACAAUACGUGGAGCAUUGGUUGGGAAGAAUUGAACUACCAGAGGCUAGAAUCUAAUAGAAACUUCAGUAUUCUAAUAGUGGGUGCCUGGACUGGGGUGACCAAAAAGAAAAGCUCAGUAGAAACUGUCAACCAAAGCCCUCAAACGUGGCCUCUGUGUCUAGUGUUCCUCAUAGCAUGGAGCACUCAGGGUUGCUGGACUUGUGACAUGGGGUUCAGGGAUGCAGGGCCAGUGUUCUGGCAAUGAAACUUACGUAGCGCAGUCACAAGCCUGCCAGAUUUGAGAGAGAAACCCAGGGAUCCUACCUCUCAAUGGGAAGAGCAUUAAGGAAUUUGUGCCCCUAUAUAAAACUACCCAAGAGUCAAAGCUCUGUUUGACAUCACCCAGCGUCAGCAUCACUAGCAAAAAAAAAAAAAUGGGAAUUGCUAGAAAAGUCUAAGAAUUCUUUUUAUCAGGGAGGAGAGCUAUCUAAUGGUCAAACUGACUUCCUCUGUGGCUUACUCGCUAUCACUGGGUCAUGUGGUCAUGACCAUCCCUAGUUGGAAGGGUGCCAGGAAAAUAUGUACUUAGUAAAGGGAUAAGAUUACUAGGAUCUCUAUAGUGCAGGUCAAGAUCCAUCAUCUUGGGCUGGCAGCAUAGCGGCCAAAACAGAAUCAGAAUUCUGUUAAAAAGAAAAAGAACAGCAGUCGAGGGGCUCGCUCUUUGGUGGGUCAAAGUACUUGUCUUGGAACACAGUGUGGGAUGCAGAAAGUCUCUGUGAUGAAGAGUGUUUGGGAUUCCUGUUCUUCUCUCUUAGAAAUUUAAAAUGCACAUUAACUUUUCAAAGCCUCCAUGAAGUCCUGUUGUGAGGAAACCUGCUCACCUUGGCUAGCCCAGCAUUGAGUUUUUCACCCUUUGUGACAUGGAACUUCUGUUAACAAGGAUGAAUGAAUACACUUUGGAAAAUGCUAUUAGAGAGUUUUCUUUUUUGGAUUCUAUCUUAGCUUGGGCUGCUGUCACAAAGUACCAUAGACUGUGUGGUUUAUAAAGAAAAGGAAGAAAUAAAUUUAUUUUCCACAGUUCUCUAGCCUGGAAGUGUGAGCUCAAGGUGUCAGCAUGACUGGACUCUGAUGAGGGCCCUCUUCUAGACUGUGGACUGCUGACUUCUUGUUGUAUCCUCACGUGAUAGAGAGCAAAGCUAGCUUUGGCUUCUUCUUAUAAGGUCUCACUCAUGAGGGCUCCACUCUCAUUACCUAAUUACCUCCCCCUCCCCAUAUAUGAUCACAUUAGUUAGGCACCAACAUGAAUUCACUGGUGUGUGUGUGUGUGUGUGUGUGUGUGUAUAAGAAACAGUGAAUCCAAAAUAGGUGCACUUAAAAAAAUUGGAGACUGUUUUACAGGAGUAUAUGAAGCAUGUUUGUCUCUUGAGGUUGCUUAUGUUCAUUUAUUUAUUCAACAGACAUCUACUGAGUGACAUCCAUGCUUGACAGACACAGUGGUGGAUAUCAAGUAGUCAAAGAUGAGAAACCCAACGUCCCAGCUCUGGAAGAGGUCCAAGUCAGGAUUAGAGAGUGUGGGCAAAGUGCUACAGAGCCUAGAGGGGGGUCCAAGGUGGGGUGGGAAACUGGAGCAAUGCCUGGCUAGAGGAUCUGCCAGGUGACCAGUCUUGAAACAUAGGGAUUUGCUAGUAAGCUUGAUUUUUGUUAGAACUAAGAAUCUCCAAGUGGUUGGAAUAAGAAAUCUAAGCAUUAGAUCGCACUCAGCAGGUUAAAUAUUUUUAGCAUUUUAAAUAGGAUAUUUGGAUGAUAGGGACCAAACGAGGCAAGCGGGCACGCUCUUCGUUUCUGGUCUCUUUCUGUAGUCAGGCAGGAAGCCCUGGCCAGGCAUUUGCCUGUGUGCUCUCAGGCCUAUCACCCACCCUUCCUGUGCUCUGUUCUCUGUUGCAGAGAAUUAUGUUUUGCAGGUUCCUUCACCAACUUGCUCUUGGUAUGUUCGACCGAGGGCAGUGCUAGGGAGUGAAUAUUUGUGCUCGCCCCAUUCAUAUUUUGAUUUGGGAUUUCCUAGCCUCCAGAACUAUGAGAAGUGUGUGCUUGUUGUAGAAGUCAUCAGGUCUAGGGCAUUUUUGUUAUAGGAAUACUAAUAGGUUGGACAGGGAAGUGCUGGCUGUGUCUUCUCCCCAGACUCUGCCUCCAUGGCCCCAGUUCUGGUGGACUCCACCAAGGUCAGGCUCUCGUGGCCCCACCUUCUUUGUGCCUCCAGCUGUUGCUGCUUGUUUUCAGAGUGCCUCACCAUCCUCUGUUGGGCUUUUUAGCCUUUGUUCCCAGUGUGAAAAACUCCCUGUAUUAUUUUGGCUCAAAUAAUUACAUAAGUUUUUGUUUUCCUGACUGAAUUUUGAGUAACGCAAACCCCAGAUAUACUUAAUUUGAGAUUAUGGUCUAAGAAAACUUGUUUUUGCUGGUCAAUAUAACUCUGAGAUCAUUCUUUUCUUUUCAUUCAUAAAAAAACAAGUUGAAACACUAGUCCCAGUCUUUAUAAAACCCCCUCGGGACUUGACUGUUUGUUGCUUGUUUGACUAAGGUGACUUCUCCCUCCCUUCUCAACAGUGUUUGUUUUCUAAAGCAAAGAAGCAAGGCCAGGCGUGGUUGUGCACCCUGUAACCCCAGCUGCCCGGAGGCUGAGGCAUGAGGAUCAUAAGUUCAAGCCCAGCUUGGACAAUUUAGCAAGACCCUGUCUCAAAAUAAAAUGGAAGAAAGGGCUGGGCAUGGAGCUCAGUUGAAGAGCACCCCAUGGUUCAGUCCCCAGUACCAAAAAUCAGUCAGUCAGUCAAUCAAACUUAACAAAUCCAGAGGACUUGACUGAGAAGCUCAAAUAUAAGGAUUGUUUUGGAUUAUGCCUUUUAUUUUUGAUACCAGGGAUUGAACUCAGGAGCACUCGACCACUGAGCCACAUCCGCAGCCCUGUUUUGUAUUUUAUUCAGAGACAGGGUCUCAAUGAGUUGCUUAGUGCCUCACCAUUGCUGAGGCUGGCUUUGAACUUGACAUCCUCAUGCCUUGGCCUCCCAAGCCUCUGGGAUUACAGGCGUGCGUCACUGCACCUGGCUUAUGCCAUUAUUUUUGAGGAAAAGUAAAGGUGUAUGAAUUGUAAAAAGGAGGGAUCAUUUAUUUGACUACAGCCAUGCUACUUUUGUCAUCUUAGAAUGGGUACAAAGUUAAAUUUUCAGUACAUAAAAAUGCAUGAAUUAAUACCCACCUAAAGGUACAAGAUACAGGGGCAUUUAGGGGAAGUAGAGACUAAUUCUAGGACCAGAAACAAAGCUUUUUGCUUCAUCUUCCACCAUGCAACCUGCUAGUUUCCAAAGCAGCACUUCCUCUGCUUUUCAUCGCCUACCUGGAUCCUACUGGUUAAUUAAGUCCAGAGAAAGGCCAUCCAUGCCUUCAAAAUAAGUACUUCCUUUUAGCUAGAUGAUAGUGGUUAGUAUAAUAUGGUUAUUACAAUUGGCAACACCCAACAAGUGAUUGACUUGCUGCCUUUAGAUUUCCUUGAGUGGCUAUCGAUGACAUCAGUGCCUUGUUAACAUUACGAUUGUCUAAAGGAUUAAACGAGACAUGCUUAUGGCUGGCAUAUAGUAAAUAUAAGGAAAUUGCUGGCAACUUUUGUAAAAUAUCAGUCAUCAUCUAACAUUUAUUGAGCAUGGUGUGGGAGUGGGAGUGUAUUUUGUGUUAAGAAUUUGACCUAAGCGUGGUCAAGGUCAUAAAAAUGCUGAAAGAUGGAGCCAAAACUUGAACCUAAUCUGUUUGAUGAUAACUUAUUUUCUUCAAUCCUAUGUUAUCUGGAGUCCCAUAUUACUGACAGAAGGCAUUGGAAACGUAUUAGCUGUAGCAUGGUGAUCAAAAACCAAAACAUGGUGAUUAAAACAAACAAACAAACCCACUUUUGGAUCGGUUCCCUCCAUCAGCAGUGUUUCUUGAAAGCUCAUUGUGUAAAAAGCUCUCUAUAAUGAAUUUUUCAGGACAAAGAAGUAAGGCACAUGAUGUCUGUGAAAUGUGGCUGAACCAGUCUCACAAAACACGGGUUGAACAUGCAUGUUAACCUGAUGUAAGUGGAAUGCACGUGGACCAGGGAGAGAAGAGGAGCCUUCUAUAGUGGUUCUUGCAGGCUUACCUGAUUCACGAGACAGGGUUUGGUACCUAAUAGAUGGCUGGGUUUAAACCUUAGUUUUGCCUGUUUUUGUAGCACGACCUGGAGUAUGUUUCUCUACCUCUUUGAGCCUCAGUUCUUGUGUAUGAAAAGGAGAUAGUGAUGGUGACCUCACAGAAGUACUGUGAAGGGCCAGAGUUGUUUCUGAUAAGCAUGUGUUCAGUCAAUUCUAGUUCAUAAGUACAUGACCAUGCAGGGAAUGUCAGCAUGCUCAACUCCAAACAAAGAGCUCUUAGGCUUUUAGAUCUGGCACUUGUCAAUUUCCUACUAGGUCUCUCCUCUCCCCCAUUCUCCUCAUAAUUUUCUGGUUAUCUGGCAACUGCACAAAAGGAAAUCACAUGUAGCUGCUGCUGUGAAAUACCCAGAAAGUCAUCUUUGAGAAAAACCAGCACUUCCAAGAAAAAACAAUGACACUCAGUUCAGGGGGGAAAAAUCAACAGCAACAAAAAACUCCUCUGGGAUUAGUCACAUCCUGAAGACCCAGAGAGGUUUGUGAUUACUUGGUGAACUCACUAAAGCUCUGUGAAAUCAAAUGCUUCCAAAUGGUGAAUUGAUGAGGAUAGAAGAGAGAGCAGUGCAGUGGGUGAGGACUGGGGGGGCGUGGUGUAUGCUCCUGGGGCCUGGGACGUCCAGUAGGCAGGGAGAGGAUGGAGGAUGCAGGACCCAACACUCCUGUCCAUAGGGCUGGAUGAGCAUCUUCCAUCCAGUCUCCGUAGGCCUGAAGUGACUCUGAACCUGAGGCUCUGCAGACUCAUUCCAGCAACUUCCCAAGUCCUGUCUUUGCUUUGAACCAUUGACCAAUGUUUGGGCCAGGGCACUCUUAAGUUCAUUAAGUGAUUUUUCCAGAAGAGAUUUUGUAAGAUAACUGGUCCAUUGGCCAUGCAAAUCUAAGGUAUUGUGAUUUGUUAAAAUUUUGUUAAACUAAUUUUAAAUUGGUUAGCGCAUUUUGUUCUAGAAAAACGUCUUUCUCAGUCCCGUGAGUACCGUGUAGUUUCUUUCGCAAACAUCCAUGUGAUGGAAGUGGAAACUUGUGCCAUUUUAUGAGCUGUAGGAGGAGCCUGCAUUUGAAUGACAGAAAAAGGAAGAACAGGUGGAAAUUUCUGGAUGUGAUUAUAACUUUAGAAACCACCAGUAUUCAUGAUGGUAACACGGGCCCUUUUUAAAGUUGAGUAGGCUUGAGAUUCUACUAGAACAGUGUAGAGAAUUAAAAAAGGUCUGAGAUCAAAUGGACAAAGAUCCCAGAUGGAUCCUGGAGGGAACUGUUGGGUGCUGUCACUACCACCAGCUGUGUGACCUGUAACUUCUUUAAGCAUUAGUUUCCUCAUUUGAAUAAUGCUACUAAUACAGUCUUGUAAGUUAUUUAGUCAGCUGUUAAAGAUCUUCACAAAUAUUUAGGUAGCUACCUAAAUGUACAUCUACACUAUGAUGAUCUUACAUUGAAAUUUUAUUCAUCUUUAAGCAAGUGAUUCUGUUGUCAAAUUGUGAUACAUUAGAGCCAAAAUAUUCAUGGAGGGGAAUACUCCUUGCUUCAGUGGCAAAAAUAUGAAUGAAUUUAAGGGUUAGAGCUCAAGUUACAUUUCUUCUAUUUUCUGUCCAAUUUGGAAAACUGUGAUCAGGUUUUUAAAAAAGGGGCAAAUCAUCUCCUGGAGGAAAGGGACACUGGGAGCUGCAUGUACAUGGAGUUGUUGUCUCGUUGUAUCCAGAUGUUAAGAUCCUCCUGCCUGUCAGUUUACAAGCUUUCUGUUGGUUGACUGCUGCAUGCUGAGGGAUGAGGUAGAUAGACCCUGUGGGUGCUGCUCUCUGUACAUCUCCCUGCACUGAAGAGGGGCUGUGUACCUUGAGGAGGGAGCUAAGUUAGCACUUACUGUGCACACGGCGGUGCCUGGUGAUGGUGUUCUGUCCAGGAGUGACGUGCUGCCGGAAAUAUUUCAUGACACCCCGUUGAACAAUCUAGAACUUUAACAUGCACAGAAAUGGUCCAUGGUCCUAGCUUCUGAGCCCUGAUCAGCUGCGGGAAUCGGGUUGAGAGAUCUUUCACUGGAACCCGUGCCCAGGACAACCUCUGCUGUCUCCUGAGACAACCAUCAUUCAUUCUCUUUCUCUCUCCCCUCUCCAUCUGUUAUCUUUAUCUGUUUCUGUCUUUUUCUUCCUCUUCUUCUCUCUCAAAGUAUUUUCCUUGCCCUUCGCUUCUUCCUUUUCUUCUCCCCACCCCCACCCUUUUCUGUCCUCACUUUUUGGGCUAAGGAGGGAUCUGCCUGAUGAGGUUUGCUGGUAUCUUCCCUCUGAUGUUCUCAUGGAUUUUCCUGAUCUUCUUGACUCUGGCCUGAACCAUGCCAUUCAAGAGGGGUGAACACUUCCCUUUCAGGGAGAAGGAGGAUGGAUUUUUAAUGACCGUUCUGUUGAGACUAGUUUCUCUCUCUAUGGAAAGGGUGCUCACUGGGCAGCUAAGACUUGAAGUCAUCAUCUCCUUCCCCAAGCCCACCGGGUGACAGUGUCACCAGUAAGCGCUGCUAAGCAUUCACCUCAGCCAUGGAUGUAGUCUUUCUCUUUGAUGAUGAAGGCUAUUGUCUUUCUGAUUGUAGAUCGAGGAGACUCGGCUCAACAUUGACAAGAUCUCAGAGCAUGUGGAGGAAGCAAAGAAACUCUACAGUAUCAUUCUCUCUGCACCAAUUCCAGAGCCAAGUGAGUGUUUACUCAGCUGAGUCACCCAGUGGUGACCUUUUGCAUCGGGGCAGAGGCAUUCCUGUUUUCCUCACCUCUGUGAACAGCAGGGAGGUGUCCACAUCACCCUGGACUAAUGUCCACAUCAUAUCACCUCUUUGAUUUCUUUACCUUAUCUGAGUUCUCACUGCCCAGCCGUCAGCUCUUCCCUUUAUGGUCCCUCUUGAACCACUUACCCAGUCUCUCCUCUGCUUCCCAGCUGGACCCUCCUGUGGCUGGCAGUGACUCUUACUGCUUCCUACAUACUCCAUGCUCUGUCCCCCGUCUCUGCCUUCAUUUAUACUAUUUCCUCCACCUGAAAUGCUUUUCCCAGCCCCCUUUCUCAAUCCCACCAGAUCAAGUCCACCUUUCCCAUGAGGUGGUCACGUAGGGUUCAGUUUCACAGGACUCCUGUUCCUAAGCUUUUUUUUUUUUUUUUUUUAAACCACCACAGAGGCAAACUUUUGUUCCUCUUAAUAGUAGGGGGAAUACAUUUUGAGAGUAAAAUUUAGGGCUCCAUUUCCUGUUCCUUAAGAACAGGGGCAAGCCCAAUUCUGUCAUUUCACUCUACUUUUUUUCAAUGACUAUUACCUCAAGAUUAAAGUUGGAACAUUUUAGCAGAGCAUAUGGGAGUCGUGCUGGUCGGGUUCCUGCCCUCCUCUCCACCUUUUCUCCCACCCUGCAUGUUCCCAUGUUACUUAUACUUUAGUCAGACUAAAUUCUGUUCUCCAAAUAUUUGUUAUUCCCUCUUGCAUGUUGUGCCUGCUCCUUGGGGCUCCAAUGCCAAUCACCUUCAGUACCCGGUUAACCCUUAGUCCUUCUUUGAGACUCUGUCCUACUUUCCUCAUCUUUAGAAGCUUUCCCAGAUCCCUAUCAAUCCCUAGCUGUGCCAGGGAGCCCUUUAUAACACCUCGUCAGAACUGCAGCCUACUCCAAACUGUAUGUCAGGACUGUUAGUUUAUUUUGCUCCCACCCCUCUCUAGACUUCGAGCACCUUGGAGGCGGAUUCUACAUCUUCUUUCUGAUUCCUUAGUUUCUAGCCCCAUUCCAAGCUUGUAGUGGGGUGCCAAGGACGGUUUUUGAAUGAAUGGUUAUAGCUAACAUCUGUUUUGCUCCAUCCAUCCCAGGAUAGUCCUGGACAUGGAGUAGGUGUAUCAAAAAUACUUGCUUCAUUCUAAGUUGAUGAACCUUGACUGAUAUCUCUUUCACCUAGAAUUCCCGCAGAAUUCUCUCCUACCCUGUGAGAUUAAGCCCGCAUCAUAAACCAGGUGGUUUCCUCCAAAAGAAAAGUUCUCAAAACUGACUUGGGGAGGUUUGUUGAAAAAGCAGAUUCUGGGGCUUAAACCCUGGGUAUUUUCUUCUGUACAUCUGGAAAAUGGUAACUGGAGAAUGCCUUUUAUUUUAAUCAAAUAUUAAUUUUGGGGGUUGCAAGGGAUUGAACCCAGGGCUUCAUGCAUAGGAUCCAGCGUUGAGCUAUGCAUUCAGCCUGAAAAUGCUUUCUAAACACACGCUCUCAGAUUCUAAUGAUAGACUCUGGGAAACACAUUAGGAUGAUACUGUUGAGAGCAGUGGGUGCCUAAGCUCCCACACCCUUUGCUGAUGGUUGUAAAAGAAGUUAGUCCUUCCUUUUCUAAUGGCUUCUACCUCCUCUGUUUACCCAGAAACCAAGGAUGACCUUGAGCAGCUCACAACCGAGAUCAAGAAAAGGGCCAACAAUGUCCGGAACAAACUAAAGAGUAAGAAGGGAACAGGGGAACAAGCUGACCCCUGCCACCAUCCACUCAGCUCCCUGCAUGUACCUCCUCUGAACUGACAGUCACCUGGAUGAAGUGACCACUUGUCCAUGUUUGCUUAUGGUUUGGGCACUGUCCCUGGAGUGACCUAUGGCAGCCCCAGAAAGUCCCCUUCUCUUGAAUCUUGACUGUAGUUGAAAGAGUCCAGAAUUGAAGUUAGGAGAUGGGAGCUGGAAUGUGCUUCAGCUACUGGCCUGGUCCUUUUGCUCAGUCCAUGGGUGUAUUCUUAUUGGUUCUGUUUCCCCAGCACCCAGCCGACAUUGGAGUAGUAAUUUUAGACAUACAUACACGCAGGAUUUAUUCAGUUCACAGAUGUUUCUUGGUGGGCACCUCCCAUUGCUGCCCACCACCUAUUUCAGAGCAUAGAUCCAAUUCUUUUGGGGAACAAAGGGUUUCCACAGUUCCAUGGCUGCAGUCUGUAUGCUCGCUCAAAGUACUUGGUGAGUACGUGCACUUGCUCAGAUGAGAAAUCAGAAUCACUGAGCCUAGCUUGUCAUUUCUUCCCCCCAAAUAAAUUACAGUAACUAUUGUAAUGGGUGUGGAAAGGGGGUUGUUGGAAGCAGCUUCCAAAAAUAAUAAUGAUAGUGUGGCUACCGCUGUGCUAAUAAGCACUUUAUGUGCAUUCUCAUUUAGCCUUCACGUUGGUCCUGUGAGGAAUGUACAAGUUGAGCUUCCCUAAUUUGAAAAUCCAAAACCCAGAAUGCUCUAAAAUCUGAAACAUUUUGAGCACUGAUAUGACCCAAGUAAGAAAUUCUACACCUGACUUUAUGUGAAGGAUCCCAGUCCAAAAACAGAUGCACUAAAAAUAUGAUGUAAAACCCUUUAGGCUGUGUUUAUAAGGUGUGUAAGAGAGAAAAGAAUUUUGUGUCCUAACCCCUAGAUAUCUCAUUGUGUGCAGGCAAAUAUUCCAAAAUCCAAAAAAUCUGAAAUCCAAAACAUUUCUGCUCCUAAGCAUUUCAGGUUAGGGAUACUCAACUAGUAUUGGCAUUUGUGUCAUUUUAUAAACAAGAGAAUGAAACAUAAGAGAGUAUAAGUGACUUUCCCAAAGUCACAGAGCUGGUCAGCAGCAGGGCAAGGAUUUGAGCUAGUCUCUUGGUGACCAAGACUCAGACCUGGUAUUGUGUGGUAAAGGCUAAUGAAAGCAGGUCUGUGGCUCACAUGAGCUGACCUUGAGGAUUACUCCUCCCUGUCGUUUCCCCUUCAUGGGUGUUGUGUGUGAGCAUGGGGGGGAGGUAUGUUUCUUAGAAAGAAGAGGAGCUGCAUUGCCGGAAUGACCUUCUUCUCAUUCCAGGCAUGGAGAGGCAUAUUGAAGAAGAUGAAGUCCGCUCAUCAGCAGACCUUCGGAUUCGGAAAUCUCAGGUAAAGUUGUCCCUGAUCUGACAAUCAUCUUCUCCAAUUCUUAUUUUCUUUCUUUUUCUUAAGCUGUGGAGUCUUUUUUAACAAAAAUUACAAUUCUUAUUUGGAACUCGAUAUGAAAAACUGCUAAAGUCGAACUAUCCAGGUUGAAGCAGGGGUCAUGGCUAGAGUCCAGCCCCUUUGGGCCCUUUUCUCACACUCUCCUUCUCUAAGGGGGGCCUUAAGAACUUCCCAAGACUCCCCAAAGCAAUGUUAGUGCCUCCUUGUUUCACAGGCAAAGAAACUGAGGUCUUUUUUGAAAAGACUGUUAGUCAUUAGUUCAGUUUGGAGCCAGGAACUUGGGGGAUCAUCUGUAUCCUUCAGGAGCUGCAUGACAUUCAAGUGGCCGUGGAACAAGUAUCCAGCUGGAAACAAGUGAGGAAGAGCAAGAGGCUGGUGAAUCUCUAGUCAGUUUUACCGUGACUGAAUUUGCCUGGUGGUAGUGGAUUUGGAUAAAAUAGAGAUAAUGGUGAUUUUGCAAAAGGCAAACAAAUAAGGCUUAUUUCUGAGAGGUAGGCAAGGAGUAAAAGUUGUUAUGAAGGUUUGAGCUGAAGCAUCCAGGGCUACUAGAGAAUGUAUCUACCAAUAAGUAAAGAAAGUUGAGGUGACAAGUUAAAGUAAGAACUCAAGGAUCUUCGGUAGCAUGACCUGUGGGAAGGGAGGCUGACAGCUUUAGAAAACAAGCCAGGGGUGUGCCAGAAAACUUCUACUAGUCCAGGUAGUUGUAGGGCUCCAGGAUUCCCAGAGAUGGUCUCCUUUUGCCUCUUAAUUACCAUGUGAGGUCAGGAGGAUAGACAGAUACUGCAACCAUGCUUUGGAAUAGCAGUAGACUUAUCCAGUGAUCCAAGCUAGGAAGUAAAAAAAAAUAUCAUACUUGGUCUUUUGAGUCCCAGCCUAGUGCUGCUGUAGACGAGGCUGUGGAGGGUGGGGUGGGGAAGGGAAGAAGCUCUACAGCAGUUGUGCACCUUUUCCCUCCCUCACUUCCGGGGGACAUACUCAUCUAACAUUGUUUCCACAGCACUCCGUCCUCUCUCGGAAGUUUGUGGAGGUGAUGACCAAGUACAAUGAGGCUCAGGUGGACUUUCGUGAACGCAGCAAAGGGCGAAUCCAGCGGCAGCUUGAAAUUAGUAUGUGUUUAAGGUUUGGCGUGUGACCCUCCUCCCUCUUUUCCUACUAUGUGAUUGUCCAUUCCAAGUUGUGACACUAUAGGAGAACAAGCAGCAAGCACCCCUGCUUGUGGCUUCUGCUUGAUAUUUUGUGCCCAAUCUCAGAGCAGAUGUUACAGCAUUGGCACAUCCUGCAUCUUGGGAAAGGUGGCACAUGGUUGUCAGGUCCAAGUCAUUUUAUCCCAGUGGAGUCCAGCACUUUUUCAUCCUAGAGGGGAAGCACGCACCUGCUUCCCCUCGUUUUUGCCGUCAAGUAGCAAAGCACAUUUGUGAAAUAAGAGCGUGGUGCAGAUUGCCAUGAGGAAUAAGGACAUGCAUAAAGCUGUGCCCUUUAGGAACUUGUGAUAUGGAAGGCAGGGCCCCCUGCAGGGUGAGCGUGCUUCAAGUGGGAUGAACUGUAUGAACAGGCAUGCAUGUGUGUUUAGGUUGUAGGCCAUCCGGGGUCUGGGAAAAAGGGUGUGUUUGGAGUGGCAGUGUAAGGUUAAGAUGGUCGAGGGAAGGCUUCCCGUGAACUGUACAUUGUAAGGAAGGCCUUGUAGUCUGUAGCGUAGAGCAUGAGGUUAGUACACAGCCCGAACUGGGAAGUGAUGUGAGCACCAUGAUCUGUACUUUAGGAAAGGAGCUGCUAUUUCUGUUAUGGAUGGAUUGGAUGAGGGGAGGAAUCAGAAGAAAAACAUCGGGAGGCUUUGGGGGCAGUGUUGUAGAGAUCCUGGUCUUUAGAAUGAAGCAACCAGAUUCUUAAUUUUCAGGAAACUUUAAAAAUGGAGUUGUGCUUUGAUCUUGAAAUUGAUGCUCUACUUCUUUUGUUAUAAAGCUGGCAAAAAGACAACAGAUGAGGAGCUGGAGGAGAUGCUAGAGAGUGGCAACCCUGCCAUCUUCACUUCUGGGGUGAGUCAUGUGGCCUGGGAAGCUUCACCUGGUCUAGCAAACACAGGAUAAGCUGCAGCUGCAGGGACAUAGGGGAUGUGAGGAGCCCACCUGGGUGUGUAUGAGGGCAGCUGCAGGGGCAGCCUUGAUUGCAGGGGAGGCUGAUGGCCUGUCUGUGUGGCCUGUUGCAGAUCAUCGACUCGCAGAUUUCCAAGCAAGCCCUCAGUGAGAUCGAGGGGCGGCAUAAGGACAUUGUGAGGCUGGAGAGCAGCAUUAAAGAACUUCAUGACAUGUUUAUGGACAUCGCCAUGCUGGUGGAGAACCAGGUAACUGGCAGGGACGGAGGAGAGGAAAGCUCAGGUUCCCCUGAGAACAGCGGAGGAAAGGCGUAGUGGAAGUCAGGUGAGGAAGGGUGAACCAGGGAACUGCAUAACAGGAGCAGAAUUCCAUAGCUCAAGGAGGUGCGCAUUCCCAUCAAAUGCUGGCGCCUUGGGCCGCCUCAGCCUUAUCUUUCUUGUCCGUUACUUGACUUCACAGUCAUUGCUAGCUGACACAGAGUCUGAUAUGUUAUAUCAAAUGCCUAGUUCACCCAGCCUCAGGAUUUUUUUCCCUCUUUUUUUUUUAAUAUAUUUUUUUUAGUUGUAGUUGGACACAGUACCUUUAUUUCACUUAUUUAUUUUUAUGUGGUGCUGAGGAUUGAACCCAGAGACUCACAUGUGCGAAGCGAGUGCUCUACCGCUGAGCCACAACCCCAGCCCCCUCCUUCUUCUUUUUUUUCAAAUUAGAGAUAGGGCUUCUUGGUGAUGGCUUAAACAGUCUCCUCAUGUGAGACUAAUGACGUUGAAAAUGUGUUCUUUUAUCCAGUUAAUAGUGACAAUUUAGUGAAACCUAAAGAGGAUUUUGUUCUUUUUUUUUUUUUUUUUUACCUGUGUUUUUCUGAAAAUUUGGCAAUUUUUUUGUUAAGGAACAAGAACAAACAUAAGGGAAAAAAUAGUAAAAGAAUAAGAACAGAAAAUCUUGGAAAACUCAGGGUGCUGAGUUUGGUAGGGUGCUGAGGAUUGAAUUCUGUAUUACCUGCAUGUGGGGUUAGUGUCACAGCACCAGAUGGUCCCGAUCUCUUAGGACACAGAUAUAUAUGCCACAGGGUCAUAGUGCUGUGACACGUUUACCAGGAAUUUCCAGAUGCUCUGCCACCUGGAUAGGAUUGGAGACUGCUUCUUAGGAAGACAGUGCAAAACCUAGGUGAAGCCUGAGUGUGUCUAGCUAUUUCUGACAUCAGUUCUGUGCUCUGGGCCUGAUUCUUACCCCCACCUCCUUCUGGUUUUGAGACCAUUUCUCAAGUCCCUUCCUCCCCACUUUCUUUUUUCACCCCACACUGCCUUGCCGAGGAACGGGUUUGAGAUUCAAGUGAUGGUAAGUGCCUUGCUCUGUUCACAGUGGGCCAAACGUGAUGGGGUUACACUGAGGAAGUCCUGGGGAAAUGAGGGUAAUUUCCAUUCUCAGACACACAGGAAUUAACCAGAAUGGCCAAACAUCAAUGUCAGGAAGUAAUAGUUGGGCAACAUUUGAGAAUCUUAUUAUGAAACAACCAUCUAGGAAGGAAGAUAUACCCAAACAGCUUGGGUAAACCCGCUGUCUGACCUUAGGGACCUGGGGAUUUCUCUUGGAGAAAGCAAAUGUUUCCAACCUCAUACUUAUUGCAUACCUACUGUGUGCCAGGCACUACUCUACAAUAUUGAGCAAGGUCAGUGUGUGCUGAAUGAACUUUCAGGUCUGAAUGACCAGGAAGAGGCCAGUACCCUGGUGAUACUCUGAAAACAUGAGAUAUAUAGCUCCUCCCCAUAUACUUAAUUUAGAGAGAGAGAUAUGGGUGAGGGAUCCCUCAAGAGUAUAUUCAUAUGUAGUUAACAGGCAUCUAGACAGUCUGCUGCACAUGUCCAGCACAGUGCUGGUUAUAGAGAAGUAGUUCAAUGAACGUCCCUUGAAUGAGUGACCCCCAUCAAGGCUGCGAAGUAUAGGUAGUCACAUGGGAAAUGCAAAGAUGUGACCUACAGAAGGUGGAGUUUCAAGGUUUCUCGAUGCUCCUCUUCCCUAAAGGUUCUAAGUGGCUAGGGCUGUUCUGGACAGGUUAACUGGGUGUGACUCGUGUCUAUUCUCUGCAGGGCGAGAUGUUAGAUAACAUAGAGUUGAAUGUCAUGCACACAGUGGACCAUGUGGAGAAGGCACGAGACGAAACUAAAAGAGCUGUGAAAUAUCAGGGUCAGGCCCGAAAGGUGAGAUUCUCCUGCUACCUUCAGAGAAGGGUCCAUUUUGUUUGCUGUCUCUCGCUCUUUCUCUCUUCCCUCCUCCUGUCUCUGUUUCUGCUGCUGCCUCCUCUUGCACCUGGGGAAAGGGAACCAUGAUUGACCGGAUUGAGAACAACAUGGACCAAUCAGUGGGCUUUGUGGAGCGGGCCGUGGCAGAUACCAAAAAGGCUGUCAAGUAUCAAAGUGAAGCUCGGAGGGUGAGCGCCUUAUCCUCUGCUGGUGGUACUUGCCUCUCCUCUCUGGUCACCCCCACCUGUGUCUCUGGGCCCGUGCCUUUGAGCUCUGUCCUUGCCUCAUCAUACCCUCCUUCCCUCAGCCUUUCCUAGAGACUAGCUGCUCACCCUUCCUUCCUAGUGUGCCUUGCAUGGAUCUGGCUCACGUGCUCUCUACCCAAGAACAUGCUCAGCAGGCAGCUCUGCAGGACAGAUGCAUGGUCCAGGUCUUGCUGCUAGUCCUGUCCUGGAUGUAGCUCAUGAACCUUUCAGACACUACACUUGCCUCUUCUGUUCUUCUGACUCUUUCUUUUCAUUGUCUUCCACUCCAGUAGCCCAAGCCCGGCCCACUUUUCUUUUUCUCUGUCUCAUACCUUGCACUGUGCUAAUUGCUACGUACAUAUCUCAUAGCUGUGGAGGUGUCUAUUUUUUCUACUUUUAGAUGAAACAAUUGAGGGCCAGAAGUUAAGUAACUGGCUUCAGGUCAUCUAGUAAAUACAGGAGCUGGGUCUCAGAUUCAGAUCCCAAUCAUGCUUUUUCCACUAAACCUUGGUGUUUGCCUUCUCUUCUGGGCCUUUGCUGCUCAAGGACUUAUAAGAUGCUCUACUCAUUGAGUGUGGGUAUCCAGUUUGGGGAGCUUCUUCCAUUUACUAAUUUUAUUUCUCAUGGGCUCUGAUAUUUUUGUUCUCCAAUGCCUUUUCUUCCAACUGCAUCUAUUGCUUAUGCUGGUACUUAGGGAGCUGGAAGUUAUUUUAUGGGAUGAACCCAUUCAGUAUACUGGGUCUGAUAGGUAGAGGUGGACUUUAGGGGACAGAUGAAAAGAAGUUAGAAAUUAGGAUUAAGCCAGGUGUGGUGGCACAUUCCUGUAAUCCCAGUGGCUCUGGAGGCUGAGGCAGGAGGAUCUCGAGUUCAAAGCCAGCCUCAGCAAUGGCGAGGCACUGAGCAACUCAGUGAGACCCUGUCUCUAGAUAAAAUACAAAAUAGGGCUGGGGAUGUGACUUAGUGGUUGAAUGCCCCUGAGUUCAAUCCCUAGUAUUAAAAAAGAAAAAUUAGGACUCUAUAAAAAUGUGUUUAUACUCCUUAAAAAGGAAUGCUUAGUCACUUUAUGUCUUGGAUAAUUGCUACUUGGAGACCCCAUGGUGGUGUCUCUUACUACAUUUGUCCACAUUUAUAAGACUGUAGUGUGAACUGAGAGCUAAUACAAGCUCCAUAUUUCCAUCUGCUGGCAUUGUUAGUCUAGAAGUAAUUUAAGAUAUCCUAACUGAUAUCCUUAUAUAGAGUUGUAAGCUGCUGCUGCUUCUUUCUUCUUUCUUCUUUUUUAAAAGGAAAAAGAAGAUUUAUUGCUUUGCUAGCAAAGGAGAAACACAGGGGACUCCUGUCCCAAAGGCUGUGUUACUGAGAUGUAAGCUGAUAAUUUGGAUUGAUAAGAUAGAUGCUUUCUAUCAGAGAUGAGAGGGGUUGGGUUUUAGAUGAAUUGCUUUUUUUUUCCUGUAAUAAUGAUUUGUUUUUGUUUGUCUUAUUCCCUUCUCCAGAAAUUGAUAAUUAUCAUUGUGAUAGUAGUUGUGUUGCUGGGCGUUUUAGCAUUGAUUAUUGGACUUUCCGUUGGGCUGUAAUGAGUGGCCUGCGGGGCUGCUGCACUGAAAUGUAAGUAAAGGGGUGGUUCUCAGGGACUCUGAACUGGCUUCCCAUGAGGAAACUGGCCUGGGACUUCACAUUCCUCUUCCUUCCUCUAAUGACUGUCCUUGGGCAUAAUGAAUUUUCUAAAACUUUUGGUAGCCUGUGGAUACUUUCAUCUCCUUAAAAUUCUCUUCUCAGAUCUGGCUGCAUCAGAUGGGUCAGGUCUCCUUUUGUUCCUGUUCUUUAAACUGUCCCUGUCUUCUGUUUUCUCUUGAGUGUCUCCCGGCAUACCUGAGCAUCCCAUUAACACCCAGGUGGAUGUGAGGGAGUCUGUGUCUUGGAUCUGGGGUCUGUCUUCUGAAUUCCUACUGAAUUCCUACACAGCUCUUGGGCUUUGCUUUCUAUAUCCUCGUCACUGUGAAUGAAGCUUUGUAUUGGGGUUUGGAUCCUGUAGUUUUGUUUGUGGCUGACUGGUGUGAUCUUGAAUGAGGUUAUAGCUAACAUUUCCCAAGUACUGAGUUGUAGCAAACAAUAUACUACACAACUUGUCCGUGGAUCAUUGAAUCUGUAGGAUACUCUCAUGGGAUAGGUAGUGCUAAUGUGCACAUUUUAGAGAAAUUGAGUCUUAAAGAGAAGUAAAGUUGAAUAGCACUAAGUUCACACAGCUAAUAGUGGAUCUAGGAGAGUUCUUUAUUCUUUACUACAUUUUACUUUGUCUUUGUAAAAUAAGGUAGCUAUUUAUCAUUGUCUACAAAGUCUAGAGAAUUUUUCAGAGUGACUUUAAAAUCAGUGCUAUUAAUUUUCUUAAAAAUUUGUUUUUAAAAGAUAGGGCUGAUCAUUAAGUAGCAAUUAGCAUGACAGAAUGAUCUAGUUAUGAAGACUCUGUGACUUUUAAGAUUUUUUUUCUGAAUAAAAUGUAGCAUGUGUAGUUUUUUUAAAAGCCUAUAAAGUAUAGAAGAAAUGAAAGUAGCUUUAAUGUUAUUGCUAGUAACCCUGUAGCAUGUUCACACACAUACUCAGUUUUAUACAGUUCAAACUAUAUUAUCUAUUAUUUGUGCCCAGUGACAAAAUCAUAAGGAUCGUCCCCCACACAAAUCUCUUUGUAAAUCUAAUCUUCAACAUGAGAUUGUGGAUAUGCUUUCAAAUAGUUAACACUUUCUCAACAUUGGAGUUUGAUUUUUUUGUUAUAACGCAGUGUGACUAACCUUAUGUAACAUUUCCCCCCUUUUUAUUUCUUCCUCAUUGUAAAUUCACAGAAGUUGAGUUUCUGAGGUAAUAGAGACAAACAUUUUUCAGACUUGAUGCAUACUUCCUUAUUGAGACCCAGAGCUGCCCCUUCGUGUUUUUGUACUUAGUUCCAGUGUGUUUCUUCAUUCCUCUUUUUUCCUUGUGACGAGCAGGUCUGAAAGUCAGAUUAUUAAUCAUAUCACUAAACAUACCUCUUCUUGAGAGAAAAACAGUAGCUAGGUGACCGGCUUCUCAGAGGCACUUAAUUAUUGGUGUUUUUUUUUUUCCUUUUUUCUGACAUGUGCCAUGUAGUCCUUGAUGGCUUCUUGACUGUAAAGAUAUUGAGUUUUGUCCUGAAUCUUAACUAUCUCAUUGGAAAAGAUGUUUUUUUUUUUUUUUUUUAAAAAAAGGUGUGAUAGCUAUCUUCCCAUAUCCUUGGUUGAUAGAUGCCUUCCAAAUUCAUGGUGCCCCUUGCAAAUUCAUGCCCAUUUCCAGGAGUCCUGAUUGUAAAUGAAUCAUUUUUGAGGUGACUCCUCAUGGAUAGGAGACUAAUACAUUGUUUCUAGUUGACUAACCCCUUCUAUAAGAUGCUAAUUUGCUGAAAAGUUGCUCCUCAUGGUUCAUUCCAUAUUCCCUAACAAAGUCAACACUUACAUUACCUAGGUUUGGACACCCUCAUCCUUGCCACCUGAGGGGAUGAGGUCUCUGAAUAGGAGGGAAUGAAGGCAAGCUGGGACUAUGCUCCCUGGACAUACAUCAGCUAUAGCUCUAAGAUACUAUCAAUAUCCCCAAUUUAGAUGGGGAAACUCUUUGAAGCUCAGUGAAGUUAAGAAAUUGGCCAAGCUUACGUAGAUUAUAAGGUGGAGCAGUCAUAAUAUGACAUUAGAACUUUCCCAUAUUCUUUUCAUUUUGCCCUUCUGCUUUCUAAAGGGCAUAGAAAUUUGAGUACCAGAAGGCUCUGGAACCUAGUAUUCAAGAGGGGAGCCAGAGAACUGAUGUUUUUAGCCAGCAGUGAUUGCCCCCACCCAAGUCUUCCCAAUAUUGUGACAGCUUGUCUCUCUCACACAGACUUAUACAAGGCCCACAGAAUUUGCUUUCUGUUGCUCCCUUAGUUGGGAUCUUUGUUCUUUUGCAGUGGAAUAUUUAAUCCCAGGCCCUAUCUGGGUUUGUUGGUUGGCUUUCUUUUUUUGUAUUUUUUAUAUUCUUUUGCAGUUGCUUCUGAUCAUUGUACCUUCCAGGGUUGUGAGUGGUUUCUCCUGUUGCUCCUCCUCCUCAUGUGGUACGCUGAUCAGCUCCUCUCCCCGCCUCUCUUAGAACCUGAUUUCACUCCAGCCUGGUGGGACCACCUUUAUCUUCAGAUGGGAAUGGAGUCUGAAUGGCCUUCCUGAGAGCAAAGGGAACCCGUUCCUUUGUUUCCUUGUAACCAUCCUUGGACCUGACUCAGCAAUCAAUCUAGCCCUGGAGGAAUCUAACCUUCCUGAUGCAACCCCAAGUUCUCCUCAAAACCAACUCCUGCCCCAGCAACUGAAGUACCUUUCCUCCUGGACCAUAUGAACUGACCCAGAUUUUUCCCUUCUGUGGUGUGUCAAAUUAUGCCUUGCACCUUGGAAAUCCCAUGUGAGACUAUCCCAAGGUGCUGCAUCUUCUACCUCAUGGAGUAUACUCCCAGAAAUUACAGUGUAUUUUUCUAGGGUAGUAUCUUUAACAAAGCAGAUGGAUUCUUCUAAAUUUGGCAACAAUAGGGUUUAGAUGGGAGACUUCUGCAUGGCAGGAUGCCAGUCCUGUCGGUCCUGAAAACAUGAGUGACUGGCAGAUGCCAUUUUGGUCCAAAAAGUUGACUUGCUUGAAAUUCAACUUCAAAUUAAGCUUUUAAUAAGAUCAACCUGGGGGCCAAUUUGGUCUUUCUCUAGGUUGUGUUCUCAUGUUUACUCAAAGCGGGACCAAGAUGAUAGUCAUCUGAGGUUGCCAUUUUCAAAGGCUGAGGAUUUGGAAUAUUUGUUUCCCUAUGAAUUUUGGAAACUGGCUUUUCACCUUUGGAGUGACUCUUUGUGAAGCUGUUGCCCUGAGGCCAAAAUUAACCAGGGAUUUAAAAUUGGGCUGGGGACAAGGUGCUAGAGUCUCAGACUCUGAAAAGGUUUCAUGAGGCUGAGUGUUCAGUCACUCAUGUGUUCAGGUGUAUUUUUAAAAGUGUGUAUGUGAGAUGCAUGUACAUAUAUAUGUGUCUGUUUCUCAGGAAAUAGGAAACUAGAAAAGAAAGAUACUAUAACCUCAAAAAUUAAAAAAAAAAAAACUUUUUUGAGCUAGACUAAAAAUUAGAUAAGUUGCUUUUGUCUACCUGCAAAUGAAUCAUUGUAGAAAUAUGAUCAUCUUAUGUCAUCAACAAAGUUGUUUUCUAGAAGAGAACUGGGAGAAUCAAAUGAGAUAUUCAGACUGAGGACUGAGUUGAUUUCUGGUUUCUGUGCAGCAGGUACAGGUGUAAUGGUUUGACACCUCUCCCUAUCUGCUGCCUCCACUAGGCUUUCCCUGAGAACAUCCCACAGCAAUCCACAUGACCUAUGGGAUGUCCUGUCUUAGAUGGAGUUAGUUGGGAGAGACCGGAGACUACCUGCUACUGGGUGAAUGAGCUUGACAGGUUCUUUGUUUUCCCCAGUUCUUGUCACAGAGGAAGCAACAGCCAGGAAAUUUUCGUGUAGUGACUGCUAAGCUGUAGGUAGCCCCUUAGAUCCCUGUCAGUCUCCCUGAUUUUGGGUACUAGCUGUAUUUCAGCUUUGACAGUAAUGCUUUCUAAGGAAGAGAAAGCACCCUGAUCCAGACACUGCCUAUUAGCUUCCUGUGCAAAGGCUCCUCACUUCUCACUACCCAGCACUCAGACAGAGCCACAGGGAUGCCUUUCUCCCCAUGGCUAUGAUGUUAGAAGACAGGCUGUAAUCUCAGGCCUUUACUGUCAUCUGAGACUGAGGCCUGGGGCUUAAAGUUUGGAAUGCAACACAUGAAGGGUUUUUGUAUUUUUUAAAUGUAAAUUUGAUUAUUUUAUUGCUAAUUUAAAAAUAAAUGACUUUCUAAAGAUUGCAAAUCAGUUCUGUCUCUUAUCUCCCUGCAAACACUUGGUGAUCUGGUGCCACCA
rnacentral:lncRNA from 1 species